rnacentral:ncRNA from 1 species
AAUAACGUGAGGAGACCGAUAGAUUACAAGUAGUGUGAACGAAAGAUGAAAAGAACUCUAAAACAGAGGGUGAAAAGUUCCUGAACUUGCUUAGGGUUAAGGCUAUUUAUAGUACCCGUCUUGAAACACGGAUUAGGGAGUUUAUCUGUAGUGCGAGUCUUUGCACGUUAACUGUAAAGGCGUAGAGAAAGCAACUGGCGUUUGCAUGGCUACUGAGCAUUACUGAUAGGACCCGAAAGGUGGUGAACUUUGCCUGCACAGGUUGAAGUCAGGGGAAACUCUGAUGGAGGACCGUACGGGUUAUUGAUGUGCAAAUCAUUUUUCUGAUGUAGGUAAAGGUGCGAAAGACUCAUCGAACCACCUAAUAGCUGGUUUCCUCCGAAGUUUCCCUCAGGAUAGCUGUAAUGCAUUUAGUUAAGGGGAGUAGAGAUAUGGGUAGAGGUGCAGGGAGCCUUCGGGUUCUCAACUUAUUUCCAAACUUCGAACCUCCUUGUUAGGCAUUUACCUAACUGGAAAUGCUUAAAUGAAUUAGCGUUACAAGUGGGCUCUGACCGGUAAGCGGUCAUGGCGAAAUGGGAUGAACCAUACGUCUGAAUAAGGUGCCGAAAUGUACUAUCACUGAUACCAUAAAGGGAGUCCAUGUAUUUAGACAGCAGGUCGGUGCCCCUAAAAGCAGGUAUCCGCUAAAGAGUGUGUUAAAACUCACCUGCCGAAUACUAGGGCCCCGAAAAUGAAUGGCGCAUAUAGUACUACCGAUCUCAGACAUCAGUUCUAUUGAACUGAGAGUAGGGGGAUGUGGACAUUUUUGUGAAGGUGCAAUGUGAGUUGGACUGGAAGAAUGUCUAUUACAGAUCCUAAUUGAAGUAGCGAUUAUCCAGGCUUGUAUCCUGGGGGCUGAUGAGGAGUAGGGUUUCUGGACAACUUAAACAGAUCCAGAGUUAGUCGAUCCUAAUCUCAAUAAUGGGAGAAAGGGAGUACAGUUGAUAUUCUGUAACUGACAACAGUUCGCGGCAACGCAUACUAUUUUUUCUCGCCAAUCUUAUACCGUUGGUAGGGAUCUCUU